GACGAACGCUGGCGGCGUGCCUAAUACAUGCAAGUCGAGCGCAGGAAGCCGUCUGAACCCUUCGGGGGGACGACGGUGGAAUGAGCGGCGGACGGGUGAGUAACACGUAAAGAACCUGCCCAUAGGUCUGGGAUAACCACGAGAAAUCGGGGCUAAUACCGGAUGUGUCAUCGGACCGCAUGGUCCGCUGAUGAAAGGCGCUCCGGCGUCGCCCAUGGAUGGCUUUGCGGUGCAUUAGCUAGUUGGUGGGGUAACGGCCCACCAAGGCGACGAUGCAUAGCCGACCUGGGAGGGUGAUCGGCCACACUGGGACUGAGACACGGCCCAGACUCCUACGGGAGGCAGCAGUAGGGAAUCUUCCACAAUGGACGAAAGUCUGAUGGAGCAACGCCGCGUGAACGAUGAAGGCUUUCGGGUCGUAAAGUUCUGUUGUAAGGGAAGAACAAGUGCCGCAGGCAAUGGCGGCACCUUGACGGUACCUUGCGAGAAAGCCACGGCUAACUACGUGCCAGCAGCCGCGGUAAGAC
rnacentral:rRNA from 1 species